UCCCUUUACUUUUUUGCUUCUUUUUUUGGAUGUUGUGUUUAUAAGACCUGUUGAUUCUGAUCAAGUUUUGACUAAGUGUUGACUGUGUAGGAGUUUUGGCUAAGGGAAGUUGUCCCUUGUUGAUUUACUUGGUGUAACGAAUCUUUUCCCACUGUAUCCAAAAUUCAAAUUUAAUCUACACUCUUUAAAAAGUGAGAAGAUCAGCAGAACUGUUCCUUAUGAACAGUAGGGCAGUGUGCGAACGGUUUUGUCCUUGUCUUGGGAUGUUAUUUGCGGUCUUGCCAUUGGAUCUUGAAUUCCUUUGCUUUCUACCUCAGCGGUCAGUCCUACUUUUCCUGAAUUCACUUGCCAUCACUCAUUCAUUUCCGUUUUCUCUCUCAUCCUACUCUCUUUCUCUUUCCUCCUCUGCUAUUGUCCAGCCAUUUUUCCACUUUUGCUUUUAAGAUUUUUCGCUCUUCCAUUGAAGGUCAAUCUGAGUUUUCCAUUGAAGCGUGUUCUGAGCUUCCUUUCUUCCAUUAUUGCUGAGUUCAGCGUAGUGUUUCUGGUGAAGGUGUUGGUGAGUUCGAUGUAUCUGCAUUCAAGGAAUCUUAUUAAAAAAUCAAGCAGAACGUAGAAUGAAACUGCAAUUUUGCCGCCAGACAAUUACAAAUGGCAUGAGAUAAAGAAUCUCAGACUCUUCCAGGUUUUGAUUCCUAUUCUGAAACCAACUAGAUACACUGGUGCUGAUCCUUAUAAAAUGUAAGGUACACAGAAUUCAAACC